rnacentral:rRNA from 1 species
GAUCAUGGCUCAGGAUGAACGCUAGCUACAGGCUUAACACAUGCAAGUCGAGGGCGAUCAGGAAGAAAGCUUGCUUUCUUUGCUGGCGACCGGCGCACGGGUGAGCAACGCGUAUCCAACCUGCCCUUUACUCGGGGAUAGCCUUUCGAAAGAAAGAUUAAUACCCGAUGGCAUAAUGAUUCCGCAUGGUUUCAUUAUUAAAGGAUUCCGGUAAAGGAUGGGGAUGCGUUCCAUUAGGUUGUUG